rnacentral:piRNA from 1 species
UAAAUGUACGGCUAUGUCAGCCUUGGACGGUC